rnacentral:tRNA from 1 species
CCCUGGGAGGCUCAGUGGUUAAGCACUGGACUACUAACCCAAGGUUGAUGGUUCAAACCCACCCAGGGU